GUGUCAGCAGCCGCGGUAAUACAGAGGGUGCGAGCGUUGUUCGGAAUUACUGGGCGUAAAGCGCGCGCAGGCGGGUCCUGUAAGUCGGAAGUGAAAUUUCGGAGCUCAACUCCGAAGCUGCUUCUGAUACUGCGGAUCUAGGGACUGGUAGAGGCUGGUAGAAUUACAGGUGUAGCGGUGGAAUGCGUAGAUAUCUGUAAGAAUACCCGUGGCGAAGGCGGCCAGCUGGGCCAGGUCCGACGCUGAGGCGCGAAAGCGUGGGGAGCAAACAGGAUUAGAUACCCUCGUAGUCC
rnacentral:rRNA from 1 species